GCCCAGUGCAGCACCCGUCGCCAUGGUGUGAAGAGGGGGCCCCGGGAGAUGACAACAACGAAGGAGCUUCGUUCGGCUUUCAAGUUGGGUUUGAAAGGACUUCUUCCAAAUCAAUAUACAGUAAAAAUAUUAUAUGAAUGAGAAUCCUGGACUGAGAUGAGACUAUAAAGAACAAGAUUGAAUAUUCUGAUCAACUUGAGAAACUCUUUUGAAGACAAGAAGGAUCUGGAGGUUUGUCUAUCCAGUCCAUAGGAAAUGGCUUUCACUGAUGUCCUCCAUUAGUAGCACACAUUCUCUAAGGAUUAUGCUUGUCCCCACCACAAAGAGGGUUCUCCAUGACUCUGCAGCCUGACUGUUUUCAAAAGGAAUGUUUUCUCACUUCACUUGGAAUUUGAGGCUCCAUUAAAAAGAGGCUUCAGUCAGUUCAGGAGAAAAGUUAGGAAACUCACAUAUAUUCUGCAGUGACUUUGUAAAGAAGUAAGAGAUAGUAUAAUACAAAGGACUAUGACAUAGUCUGAGCUGUGUUACUUUGAACACCAAAUUACUUUCUAGAAUUCAGUGGGAAAAUUUACGUGCAAAGGAAUU